GACGAACGCUGGCGGCGUGCUUAACACAUGCAAGUCGUACGGUAAGGCCCUGUCGGGGGUACACGCGUGGCGGACGGGCGAGUAACACGCGCGUAAGCAGCCUACAAUUGUGGGAGAACGAUAGUAAACUGGCGGUGACUCUUGACAUGUGGUAGCGCCGCAUGGAUGGGGUUGGAAAGCUACGGCGGUUGUGGGUGGAUUCGCGGGCUAUCAGCUUGUUGGUGGGGUAGUGGCCUACCUAGGCGGCGGCGGGUAGGCGGCCUGGGUGGGUGACCGGCCACAUUGGGGCUGGGAUACGGCCCAGGCUCCUACGGGGGGCAGCAGUGGGGAAUAUUGCACAAUGGGCGCGAGCCUGAUGCAGCAACGCCGCGUGCGGGAUGACGGCCUUCGGGUUGUAAACCGCUUUCAGCAGGGACGAAGCUUUUUGUGACGGUACCUGCAGAAGAAGCACCGGCUAACUACGUG
rnacentral:rRNA from 1 species